rnacentral:rRNA from 1 species
GACGAACGCUGGCGGCGUGCCUAAUACAUGCAAGUUGAGCGCUGAAGGUUGGUACUUGUACCAACUGGAUGAGCAGCGAACGGGUGAGUAACGCGUGGGUAAUCUGCCUUUGAGCGGGGGACAACAUUUGGAAACGAAUGCUAAUACCGCAUAAAAACUUUAAACACAAGUUUUAAGUUUGAAAGAUGCAAUUGCAUCACUCAAAGAUGAUCCCGCGUUGUAUUAGCUAGUUGGUGAGGUAAAGGCUCACCAAGGCGAUGAUACAUAGCCGACCUGAGAGGGUGAUCGGCCACAAUGGGACUGAGAAACGGCCCAAACUCCUACGGGAGGCAGCAGUAGGGAAUCUUCGGCAAUGGACGAAAGUCUGACCGAGCAACGCCGCGUGAGUGAAGAAGGUUUUCGGAUCGUAAAACUCUGUUGGUAGAGAAGAACGUUGGUGAGAGUGGAAAGCUCAUCAAGUGACGGUAACUACCCAGAAAGGGACGGCUAACUACGUG